GGUCCAUCGAAAUUUAUCUACAACACCCUGUAGAGCUAGAGCAAAAAGCGUCGCUUUCUAAUUAACUAAUUAGUUGCUUUGUAGAAAUUUUAUUAGGCUAUUCAACGCCCCCCCCACUUAGCCAUUUAUAUGACCAUUCAAUCGACUAAGACCACUAGGGAAGAAGAUGAUGACAGGCCUUGGAUCGAAUAUUCGUCAGUGGGAGAAGCACAUGCCAUACUAGAGUUGGACCGAGAAGAAUAUUUGGUGGGUCGGAGUUAAAUAAAUAGGAAAAAAGAAGAAAAGAAUGAGGUUUGUGGAUUAGGAUGAAGCGGCCGGCCGGGAUUCGUCCCAAAACACAAUGCAUCAAAUUAUAUAUUUUUUAUGUUUU
rnacentral:lncRNA from 1 species